UGUUGAAUGAUGAAAGAAAUCGUUCGGAUUCCCAAUGAUUUUAUAAUAUGAUCUUACAACCAGCUACUUCUGACAACA
rnacentral:snoRNA from 1 species